rnacentral:miRNA from 1 species
GCUAUGGGGAUCUGGCACUGUGGUUCCUGCAUGAAAAUGGUGUCCGGUGGUGCCUGGACCUAUACCACCACUUCGGCUGUCACAGUGAAGUCUGCC